rnacentral:lncRNA from 1 species
AUGGGUGAAAAAUUAAAAAAAAAAAAAAGGCAUUCAGAACUACCAAUAAAAGGGAAAGAAAUUUGGUUUAAAGAACGAAAUGCGUUCCCUCAGUGUUCCCUGCGCCACCGUGCACCGUGCGCACGCAGCCCCGUGUGCUCGCCGAGACCGGGGCACGCCUGGCACACACCGCCACAGGUUGGCGUGUUCGAGAAGCGCCCACCAGCUCGACCUCACGACCUCCUGCCCAGCGGCCACGGCGCCCCCCGGAAGCUCAGCAGGUGGAGCUGGAAACGGCUAUGAACACAAUCCUCUCAUCCUCGAAUUUUGUGCCAUGAUCUCAACCAAUUUGCAGUAGUGUUCUAGAGAAGUGGCCAGACAAUCUUGCCAUAGAACGGGAAGAAAGAGUCGUGUGGACAAUGGCACGAGAUGAUGGGUAUACAAGCAUUUGCCAGCAGGUACAUUCAGGCGACCACAUUAUGCACUUCAUGCACUUUAGUUUAAUCAUCACA